rnacentral:rRNA from 1 species
AUUGAACGCUGGCGGUAUGCUUAACACAUGCAAGUCGAACGGCAGCAUGGUUUGUAGCAAUACAGACUGAUGGCGAGUGGCGGAUGGGUGAGUAACGCGUAGGGAUCUGCCCUGUAGCGAGGGACAACCCGGGGAAACCCGGGCUAAUACCGCAUAAUACUCGGAGGAGGAAAGCUGGGAGCAAUCCUGGCGCUACAGGAGGAACAUGCGUCCGAUUAGCAAGCUGGUGAGGUAAAGGCUCACCGGGGCGAUGAUCGGUAGCUGUGCUGAGAGGAUAACAAGCCACACUGGGACUGAGAAACGGCCCAGACUCCUACGGGAGGCAGCAGUGGGGAAUAUUGGACAAUGGGGGAAACCCUGAUCCAGCAAUACCGCGUGUGUGAAGAAGGCCUUCGGGUUGUAAAGCACUUUAGGUGGGGAAGAAGGCAUGUUGUUUAAGAGAUGGCAUGUCUGACGGUACCCGCAGAAUAAGCACCGGCUAACUCUGUGCCAGCCGCCGCAGUAACAC